rnacentral:rRNA from 1 species
AAAGGAAUUGACGGGGGCCCGCACAAGCGGUGGAGCAUGUGGUUUAAUUCGAAGCAACGCGAAGAACCUUACCAGGCCUUGACAUGCAGAGAACUUUCCAGAGAUGGAUUGGUGCCUUCGGGAACUCUGAUACAGGUGCUGCACGGCUGUCGUCAGCUCGUGUCGUGAGAUGUUGGGUUAAGUCCCGCAACGAGCGCAACCCUCGUGUUUAGUUGCUAACAGUUCGGCUGAGAACUCUAAACAGACUGCCUACGCAAGUAGGAGGAAGGUGAGGACGACGUCAAGUCAUCAUGGCCCUUACGGCCAGGGCUACACACGUGCUACAAUGGGGUAUACAAAGAGCAGCGAUACGGUGACGUGGAGCAAAUCUAGAAAAUGCCUCUCAGUUCGGAUUGUAGUCUGCAACUCGACUACAUGAAGUUGGAAUCGCUAGUAAUCGUAGAUCAGCAAUGCUACGGUGAAUACGUUCCCGGGUCUU